GUUGAAGAAAAGCGAGCGAAAGCGAAGCUUCAGAGAAACGUGACCAUCUGUGUGUUUGGGCUGGGUAGAGGUUGGCUCUUUGAUUAAGUGUGGUCGUGCAGACCAGAAAGAGAAUGGACCCAAGACUGGUAGGGUUUCUGCAGGGACAGCCCUUAUUGAGGCCCAAUGCUGCCGUGCCCAUGCAUUUUCCUGUGGCGGCGCCCAACCUGGGGUAUACACUGAACCACCAUGGCCGCCCUCACCUCGGCCAUCAAGGCGGCAACCAGGGAGUACGCCCUGCCUACAGCCACCACCACCGCAGCCGCAGCCGCAGUGCUGGCUCUGGCACAGCCC